GCCGGAGUGGUGGAAUUGGUAGACGCAGGGGACUCAAAAUCCCCCGAGGGCAACCUUGUGCCGGUUCGAGUCCGGCCUCCGGCACCA
rnacentral:tRNA from 3 species